UACGUAGGGCGCAAGCGUUGUCCGGAAUUAUUGGGCGUAAAGAGCUCGUAGGCGGAUUGUUAAGUCAGGGGUGAAAUCCUGGAGCUCAACUCCAGAACUGCCUUUGAUACUGAGGAUCUUGAGUUCGGGAGAGGUGAGUGGAACUGCGAGUGUAGAGGUGAAAUUCGUAGAUAUUCGGAAGAACACCAGUGGCGAAGGCGGCUCACUGGCCCGGUACUGACGCUGAGGUGCGAAAGCGUGGGGAGCAAACAGG
rnacentral:rRNA from 1 species